rnacentral:rRNA from 1 species
GAUGAACGCUAGCGGGAGGCUUAACACAUGCAAGUCGAGGGGCAGCAUAGGGUAGCAAUACUCUGAUGGCGACCGGCAAACGGGUGAGUAACGCGUAUGCAACCUACCCUGUACAGGGGGAUAACCCGGAGAAAUUCGGACUAAUAUCCCGUAAUAAUAUCCGGAGGCAUCUUUGGAUAUUUAAAGUUUCGACGGUACGGGAUGGGCAUGCGUAACAUUAGCUGGUUGGUAAGGUAACGGCUUACCAAGGCUAUGAUGUUUAGGGGUCCUGAGAGGGUGGUCCCCCACACUGGUACUGAGACACGGACCAGACUCCUACGGGAGGCAGCAGUGAGGAAUAUUGGUCAAUGGGCGCAAGCCUGAACCAGCCAUCCCGCGUGCAGGAAGACGGCCCUAUGGGUUGUAAACUGCUUUUCCAGGGAGAGAAACUUACGCACGUGUUGCGUGACUGACGGUACCCUGGGAAUAAGCAUCGGCUAACUCCGUGCCAGCAGCCGCGGUAAAAGU